CGUGAAAAAAAUGUGAACAAUUUUUGUUUAGCUCAAUGCUUGGAAAAAGGAGGGUUUGCUUCAGUCGUCAAGGUACGUAAUAAAUUGGACGGCUGUCUCUAUGCGAUCAAGAGAAUUCCUUUGAAUCCGAAAAGUGUGCUGUUUAAUCGCAAAAUUACUCGAGGAGAGAA